CGGGCAUGCUGACCAGGAAAGUUCACAGUCCACCGGAGCUCCCGUACCUACCACCACUCCCACUCCGGGCGAGAAGAGAACAGUGAGCCAUGGACACGGCCACCUUGCUCCCGGUGGCGCUGGCCCUCCUGGCCAUCCCCGUCACGGCGCUCGUCCUCAACCGGCUCCGCUUCGGCAGGCUGCCGCCGGGGCCGCGCCCGUGGCCGGUGCUGGGCAACCUCUUCCAAAUCCAGCCCGUGCGCUGCCGGUGCUUCGCCGAGUGGGCGGCCCGGUACGGGCCCAUCAUCACGGUCUGGUUCGGCUCGACGCCGAUGGUGGUGGUGUCCACGCCGGAGCUGGCGCAGGAGGUGCUCAGGACCCACGACCAGCACCUGGCCGACCGCUCGCGGAACCGCUCCUCGGAGCGCUUCAGCCGCGGCGGCAUGGACCUCAUCUGGGCCGACUACGGCCCGCACUACAUCAAGGUGCGCAAGCUCUGCAACCUCGAGCUCUUCACGCCGCGCCGCCUCGAGGCGCUCCGCCCCGUCCGCGAGGACGAGGUCACCGCCAUGGUCGAGUCCGUGCACCGGGCCGGCAAGGAAGGGAAGCCGGUGGCCGUGCGGGAGUUCCUCGCCAUGGUGGGCUUCAACAACAUCACGCGCCUCGCCUUCGGGAAGCGGUUCCUGACCGCGGCGGGCGAGCUGGACGAGCAGGGACGCGAGUUCAAGGAGAUCGUCAACAACGGGAUCAAGAUCGGCGCGUCGCUGUCCAUCGCCGAGCACAUCCGGUGGCUCCGCUGGCUGACGCCCGUCGACGAGGUGGCCUAUCAGGCCCACGGCGACCGGCGCGACCGGCUCACUGUCAAGAUCAUGGAGGAGCACGCCAGGGCCCUCCAGCGGAGCGGCGCCAGCAAGCAGCAUUUCGUCGACGCGCUCUUCACGCUCCGGGACAAGUACGACCUCAGUGACGACACCGUCAUUGGCCUCCUCUGGGACAUGAUCACCGCCGGCACAGACACGACGGUGAUAACCGUGGAGUGGGCGGUAGCGGAGCUGGUGAGGAACCCGGUGGUGCAGCAGAAGGUGCAGGAGGAGCUCGACCGGGUGGUCGGCUGCGACCGGGUGCUGUCGGAGACGGACUUCCCAAACCUGCCCUACCUGCAGGCCGUCGUGAAGGAGUCGCUCCGGCUGCACCCGGCGACGCCGCUGAUGCUCCCGCACAGGGCCAGCGCCGCCGUGAAUGUCGCCGGCUACAACAUCCCCAAGGGAGCCAGCGUCACGGUGAACGUGUGGGCGAUCGCGCGCGACCCCAAGGCGUGGGACAGCCCGCUCGAGUUCCGGCCCGAGCGCUUCCUCCACGACAACAUCGACAUCAAGGGCUGCGACUACCGCGUGCUGCCGUUCGGCGCCGGCCGCCGGGUGUGCCCCGGCGCGCAGCUCGGGAUCAACCUCGUGGCGUCCAUGAUCGGCCACCUCCUGCACCACUUCACCUGGGCGCUGCCGGACGGGACCCGGACGGAGGACCUCGACAUGAUGGAGUCCCCCGGGCUCAUCACCUUCAUGCGCACGCCGCUGCAGGUCGUCGCCACGCCGCGCCUCGAAAAGGAAGAGCUGUACAAGCGGGUGGCCGCCGAGAUGUGAGCGACCUGCGCCCUCCCAUGCGUCCCGGACUCCCGGUGGUUCAGAGCUCAGGCUUCAAAUCAAGAUUACAAUCACGGAGAUACAAGUUCGUCCUCGGGACCAGAGCAUAGCCAAACAACACUACUAUUGCUGCGACUAGCGUAAGAGCAUCUCCAACAGGCAGGCUAGAUACAACGCGCGCGAGAAAAAAAGUUUUUAGCGCGCGCGGGCCGGUUUGGCGCCCUUCAGCAGGCGCAGAAAAAACUGCACGCGCGAAAAAGCGGCAACGUGCGUGGCGUCGGGUGCGCUCUAUAAAACCCUCGUGUGCGAGCCCGCCAUCCUCCGUCUCUCUCUCCUUUCUUCUCCUCGCUUCUGGUGCCCCGCCGCCGCUGCGACCUUGUUCCUCGCCUCCAGCGCCUCCCGCCGCCGCUGCGACCUUGUUCCUCGCCUCCAGCGCCCCCCCGCCUCCAGUGCCUUCUUCCCCGCCGCCGACAAGCCGCCGCGCGCCCGGAGCAGCUCCGGCUACCACGACGUCCGCACCCACCCCGCCAGCAUGUAUUACGCGGAGAUCCGCUCCGGUAAUACACGUCUCGGUCUCGAGACGUUCGAGACCGCCCACAAGGCCGCUCGCGCGUAUGACACGGCGGUGUGGCGCCUCUUGAGGCCACGUUCGCAGAUGAAUUUCUCGGACGCGCAGACGAGCCAACAGGCGCAGGACCUCGUGCCUCCGCCGCGACUAAUCACCGACGAGGACCGCUGCAUCUAGCGGAGGCGAGAGUGCCGCCUCCUCAUCGCCGAGGCGGACGAGCACGCCAUGGCGGAGUGGCGCGAGCGCUUCCCGGAGAAUGUUGCCGCAGAGGAGGGCGCAGCGAGCCGCGGAUCGGGCGGACAGGCGUGCGCGGAAGGCGCUGGCGAUAGCGCAAUGCGAACUGGGAUCUGCGUCGACCUUUGACGACAAUGAUCCUUGGUGGGAAGACCGUUUCUGUUGUCGGACUACACCACCGAGGAGGACAACAACAAGGAGUAGUUAUCUAGUAUAUUUGCAUCACAGUAUCGUUUUUAUCUGUCUUUAUUUGUAUCGUAUGGACUAUAUUCGUGGUGAUGGGUUUGAACUAUGCUAUUUGAACUUUAUCUAUAUGUUGUUUCAUAUUGUUCGUAUGUGUUGCACCAUAGUACCGGUUGCUCGCGCGUGCGGGAUUUUGCAGCGCCUGUGAUACGUCUCCAAUGUAUCUAUAAUUUAUAAAGUAUUCAUGCCAUGUUUACAAUAAUUUUAUAUGGUUUUGGUAUGAUUUGCAUGGAACUAACCCAGACUGACGCUGUUUUCAGCAGAACUACGGUGGUGUUGUUCUUUGUGCAG